rnacentral:lncRNA from 1 species
CUUACUGGUAGGAGUUUUUGUUGGCUUAGAACCCUCCGUCUCUUUUUCAUCUGUGUAUUUCAGUGCUCUUUUAGCUAGAGGCCUGGUGACUGGUCUAUCUGAAUUGCUCGUGGGAUUCUGAAUGUACUUGCAAGUGGGCAAAUAGAGGUCAUCGGAAUCAUCUCCUGAACCACUUGAUUCACAGAGGCUCACUUCAGACUCGUUGUUUUCUUCUCUAUUAGAGUCAUUGCUCACUUUUUGUCGGAAAGGAGUAAGAUGAACACCCUCUUCCAAAUUAAAAUUUAAACGUUCCUGGCUGAAUCAGCUUUGGUGAUAAGUUAACUUGGUCCUUGCUCCAUUGACAAGCAUUGUGUUGUACAUUUUCAGGGACUCCAGGAAGGCCGGGGGGAGGUGGGGCUGGCGGAAGUGGACGCGGCGACCCUCCUGCCGCAGGCGCGUCCAGAACGAUACCUUGGCCACUACUUCUGCAACAGCUAUCUUCCUCCUCCUCACAUUUCAAGGCUCUUCGAAGCUCUCCAGCCACGGCUAGCCCCGCGCACUGGGCCCUCCAGGACCGUACCACCGUCCGCCGUCGCCUGGAACUACCGCCGCCACAUUCGAAAUUUUCCGCCUCGCUCCUCCAUUGGUUGGCUGGGAGGCGGUCACGUGGCGCAGGAUGCACCCAACACCACCGUCGCAGGCAGAGUCCCGCCCCGCCAGGCGACGUCACGUGACGCACAUUCGCUCAAGUCCACAUCCGGGCAUCCACCUGGCCCUGGGGCGGAGCCUGCGGUCGGGUCUCGGCGACCCGCCGGGACUUUCUAAUCAGAGUCGUGGGGAUUUUACGGGUGGAGUUACUCCGAAACCUUUAAGGCCGAGUGUGAUAGAUAUUUGCAACCAUUCUUCCAAUCAAUUUUAGAAAAUUUCCACCACCUCAAAAAGAAAUCCUGAUGAAGAAACAUCCUGAGAAGGUUGACAUGCUGAAUGCCUUAAAGAACUUCAAUUGGGAUGCCAGAUGAAAGUGUAACUAGAAUUUCUAUGGCUUAAAUAACGAGAGCUGGAGUGCAGUAGCAUGAUCAUGGCUCACUGCUGCCUCGACCUCCCGGGCUCAGAGAUUCUCUUGCCUCAGCCUCCUGAGUAGCUGGGACCACAGAGAUGGGGUCUCUCUGUUGCCCAGGCUUGUCUGGAACACCUGGGCUCAAAUAAUCCUCCUGCCUUG